CCUUCUCCCUGGCAUUCCAUAAGAUACCCGAAAACACAGCCACUGACAGCAGAGAGAUAUGACAAACUCUUUUAAUCCCAAUAUAUGUGUUGACUCAAUAGCAGUCGCUACGGGGGUGCCGAAUAAAUUUAAGGCCCAAAACCAAAUAGUUGCUGGGUUUCAGUCAGCACUCUUCUAUGGUCAACUAUUAAUAACAAUGUGAACUGAAUUAACUACAUCUAUUAGAGUCAACAGGGAUUCAUCAAUUAUACUCAGGAUGCCCUCAAAGGGGUGGCUAGCCGGUUAGACGCCACCAGCCGAAUGGCCUGGAUAAACAGGCUUGCACUAGACAUAAUGCCAGAAAAAGGGGGUGUAUGUGUUACGCUGGGUGGGAAACGUUAUACUGUCAUUUCCAACAAUACUGCCCCAGAUGGGACCAUCACAAAAGCUUUACAAGGACUGACAACUCUAGCCAACGAACAGGCAGAAAAUGCUGGAAUGAAUAACCCAUUUACAGGUUGGCUAAAAAUCAGUUUGGAAAACGGAAAGGCACGGUGGCUUCAAUCCUUACAUCUCACAUAAUUGUAGAAGGAGUCUUAGCAGUGGGAUGUAGUAUUAUCUUGUGUGUGAGGGGACUAGCACAGAGAUUAAUUAAAACAGCUAUUAAUAAACAAAUGCCAAUAAGUUACCAGCAAAAUAACCUGCUACUAUUAGAAACCAAAAUAAACUCACUCUCAUAUAAGGAAGAAAGUAAACAACUUCUAAAGCAGUUUGAGGACCAAAACGGUUUAAAUGAAAAUGAGACCAAAGGAAGUAAAUAGAAAAGGAAGGAAAAUAAGGAAAUUUGUGAGAAAACAUUUUAAGUGGUCCAUUUUCAAGGCAUAAUAAAUCUAAGUACUGGAAGUCAGCCUGUGGAUGUAACAAACCGCACAGCUCAUGCACCUAGAAGGUCAUGAUAAGUGAACAGAAUGUAGGGGAGGGGUCAGCCCCUAAAACAGGAGAAAGUUUCAUUAUUGGGAAAUCAAAACUGAAGUGGGGAAAGGGACCAGGGUAUAACCUUAUAAGGGGGAUAAUAAAACUUUAGGCAAUGUCCAGGAAGACUGUAACCCCACAGUACUCAACCAGUGAGGAACAGGGGGAGGGACUUGCAUGCUAGGAAAUAAAUUAAAUGUUGUAACCGUCCCCAGUGUGACCGCCUACCAGACACCAGAUCUUGCAAGACUGCCAUUAAAAGUCUCGCUUCCGCUGUUCUUCAUGUCUCCGAGUCCAGUCUUUGGGUUUGGAUGGGUAAAUGUGUGUUUCUCACAGGCAUGAACCAACAUCCCACCAGAAUGUUAUUGGUGGUAACCCGUCAUGGUUUCUUUGAGCCCGAGGAACCAUUAUUACAGCCUAGAAUUUUCAGAUUACAACAAAUCACAGCUCCACACAUACGGCUGCACACAUAUGGUCCCUCAGGGCAUAUUUUCCCUAUGGACUAUACCCCUAGUUCAGUUUUAAGCAAUCUGGAAACCUGCUCCAACAUUCACUAGAGAAUUAAAGACUAAUGUGUUGAAAUUUUGCCAAAAAAAAAAAAAAAACCAAGAAGGUGUAUUAGUCUGUUCUCAUGCUGCUAAUAAAGACAUACCCGAGACUGGUAAUUUAUAAAGGAAAGAGGUUUAAUUGACUCACAGUUCCACAUGGCUGGGGAGGCCUCACAAUCAUGGCACAAGAUGAAGAAAGAGUAAAGGGGCUUCUUAAUGGUGAUGGGCCAGAGAGAAAUGAGAGCCAAGCGAAAGGGGUUUCCCCUUACCACGAAACCAUCAGACCUUGUGAGACUUAUUCACUACCUCAAAAACAGUAUGGGGAAAAUCAUCCCCAUGAUUCAGCUCUCUCUCACCAGGCCCCUCCCACAACAUGUGGGAAUUAUGGGGGCUAUAAUUCAAGAUGAGAUUUGGGUGAGGACACAGCCAAACCAUAUUACAAGGCUUUGUUCCCUAUGAACCAACAGGAGAGCAUUAUUUUUAAACACUGCCACACAUGCUCCCCAAAGUGAGGAACAAAAACGAAUCACAUCCUGGAGGCAGAGGUUGCAGUGAGCCGAGAUUAUGUCACUGCACUCCAGCCUGGGAGACAGAGUGAGACUCUGUCUCAAAAAAA